rnacentral:tRNA from 2 species
GCAGGCGUGGUGGAAUUGGUAGACACGUUAGACUUAGGAUCUAAUGCCGCGAGGUGUGCGAGUUCGAGUCUCGCCGCCUGUA